AGCAGCCGCGGUAAUUCCAGCUCCAAUAGCGUAUAUUAAAGUUGUUGCAGUUAAAAAGCUCGUAGUUGAAUUUCGGGGUUAGUACGCUGGUCGUGCCUUCGGUACGUACUGGUGUUACUGGUUCCUCCCUUCUGACGAACUGUCAUGUCAUUUAUUUGGUGUGGCAGGGAAUCAGGACUGUUACUUUGAAAAAUUAGAGUGUUUAAAGCAGGCUCGCGCUUGAAUACAUUAGCAUGGAAUAAUGAAAUAGGACGUUCGAUCCUAUUUUGUUGGUUUCUAGGAUUGACGUAAUGAUUAAUAGGGAUAGUUGGGGGCAUUAGUAUUCAAUUGUCAGAGGUGAAAUUCUUGGAUUUAUUGAAGACUAACUACUGCGAAAGCAUUUGCCAAGGAUGUUUUCAUUAAUCAAGAACGAAAGUUAGGGGAUCAAAGACGAUCAGAUACCGUCGUAGU
rnacentral:rRNA from 1 species